rnacentral:lncRNA from 1 species
GCAUGGGGUCGCUCUGGCUAAAACAGCAUACAUGGAGAAUUUCAAAAGGCUUGCGCAUUAACGUGGUUAACUGUUCCACCGCGUGUUAUUGACUUUUUCCCUUCGUCCACUUUUGCGCAAAGGGAGAGUGUUGUAAGCGGUCCCUGUGGAUAUACUGUGUCUUCAUGAGGAGUUGAGCGCAAAUAAGGGGGCGGGUGAUGAUAAUGUGUGAAGAGUGGCAGUAACUUCUCACUGCACGGCAACAUUUUCCGUUCUUCUUCAGGCGAUAUGCCCUUUCUUUCUAAAGAAGCUCCAAGGAGGAAGGCUGGUGGUGCACGGCAACAUUUUCCGUUCUUCUUCAGGCGAUAUGCCCUUUCUUUCUAAAGAAGCUCCAAGGAGGAAGGCUGGUGGUGGACAUGGUGAAAAUGACAGAGAAAAAGUGCCUCAAAUUGCAUUGCUGGAACUUACCAGGCUACCCAUAGAGGAAAUACACACACUGAAGCACUCCUCAAAUUGCAUGGGGCCCCCAUCUAAGGUGUGA